AGAGUUUGAUCCUGGCUCAGGAUGAACGCUGGCGGCAUGCCUAAUACAUGCAAGUCGAACGAGGAUCCUUCGGGAUCCUAGUGGCGAACGGGUGAGUAACACGUAGGGAACCUGCCCGCGCACCGGGAAUACGCUCUGGAAACGGAGAACAAAUCCCGAUGUACAGGAAGGAGGCAUCUUCUUUCUGUGAAACAUCCUGUAAGGGAUGGGGCGCGGAUGGACCUGCGGUGCAUUAGUUGGUUGGCGAGGGUAAAGGCCCACCAAGACGAUGAUGCAUAGCCGGCCUGAGAGGGCGGACGGCCACAUUGGGACUGAGACACGGCCCAGACUCCUGCGGGAGGCAGCAGUAGGGAAUUUUCGUCAAUGGGCGCAAGCCUGAACGAGCGAUGCCGCGUGAGUGAAGAAGGCCUUCGGGUCGUAAAGCUCUGUUGCGGGGGAAAAAAGCAUCUGUAGGAAAUGGUAGAUGACAGAUGGUGCCCCGCCAGAAAGUCACGGCUAACUACGUGCCAGCAGCCGCGGUAAUACGUAGGUGGCGAGCGUUAUCCGGAAUGAUUGGGCGUAAAGGGUGCGCAGGCGGUCCUGCAAGUCUGGAGUGAAACGUAUGAGCUCAACUCAUGCAUGGCUCUGGAAACUGGAGGACUGGAGAGCAGGAGAGGGCGGUGGAACUCCAUGUGUAGCGGUAAAAUGCGUAGAUAUAUGGAAGAACACCAGUGGCGAAGGCGGCCGCCUGGCCUG
rnacentral:rRNA from 1 species